AUCCAAGAUUUCAUCAACUUAUUAUCAAAAUGGAAAAUCAACAUUUCCAUCUAAACCAACAUAGCAAUAAUUAAAAAAUUAAUAUUCAACUUUUUUUUUAUUGAUAGCAGAAAUUGGCAAAGGAUUUGAUGGUUAGUACUAAGAAUCUCAAUUCAAAAUUUAAUUACUGCACAAGUGGCAAAGGGCUUAGAAGUUGGUAUCCGAAAUUCCGAGUUUGAAUCCUAAUUGAUUCACAUUUUUAGCUAAGUUUAUUUCUAAAUAAAAUAAAUAAAGCGGAUAGCAUACUACCUAUCUUUUAGAAAAAAAAAUAAUCAACCGUCCCUAGCGCAAGUGAUAAAAGAUUUGGUAGUUGAUAUCGGAGAUCCCAAAUUCGAAUCCUAAUUGAUUUACAUUUUCAGCUAAGUUUAUUAUUUCUAAAUGAAAUAAACGCUAAAUUUAUUUUUAAAAAACUUAAAUAAAUCAGAUAACAUGUUAUUUAAAAAAAAAAUUUUAUUUUACUUUUCUUUAUCUUUGUCUUC
rnacentral:lncRNA from 1 species